GCGGACGGGUGAGUAACACGUGGAUAACCUAGCUAUAAGACUGGGAUAACUUCGGGAAACCGGAGCUAAUACCGGAUAACAUAUUGAACCGCAUGGUUCAAUAGUGAAAGGCGGCUUUGCUGUCACUUAUAGAUGGAUCCGCGCCGUAUUAGCUAGUUGGUAAGGUAACGGCUUACCAAGGCAACGAUACCUAACCGACCUGAGAGGGUGAUCGGCCACGCUGGAACUGAGACACGGUCCAGACUCCUACGGGAGGCAACAGUAGGGAAUCUUCCGCAAUGGGCGAAAGCCUGACGGAGCAACGCCACGUGAGUGAUGAAGGUCUUCGGAUCGUAAAACUCUGUUAUCAAGGAAGAACAAAUGUGUAAGUAACUGUGCACAUCUUGACGGUACCUGAUCAGAAAGCCACGGCUAACUACGUGCCAGCAGCCGCGGUAAUACGUAGGUGGCAAGCGUUAUCCGGAAUUAUUGGGCGUAAAGCGCGCGUAGGCGGUUUUUUAAGUCUGAUGUGAAAGCCCACGGCUCAUCCGUGGAGGGUCAUUGGAAACUGGAAAACUUGAGUGCAGAAGAGGAAAGUGGAAUUCCAUGUGUAGCGGUGAAAUACGCAGAGAUAUGGAGGAACACCAGUGGCGAAGGCGACUUUUCUGGUCUGUAACUGACGCUGAUGUGCGAAAGCGUGGGGAUCAAACAGGAUUAGAUACCCUGGUAGUCCACGCCGUAAACGAUGAGUGCUAAGUGUUAGGGGGUUUCCGCCCGUUAGUGCUGCAGCUAACGCAUUAAGCACUCCGCCUGGGGAGUACGACCGCAAGGUUGAAACUCAAAGGAAUUGACGGGGACCCGCACAAGCGGUGGAGCAUGUGGUUUAAUUCGAAGCAACGCGAAGAACCUUACCAAAUCUUGACAUCCUUUGACCGCUCUAGAGAUAGAGUCUUCCCCUUCGGGGGACAAAGUGACAGGUGGUGCAUGGUUGUCGUCAGCUCGUGUCGUGAGAUGUUGGGUUAAGUCCCGCAACGAGCGCAACCCUUAAGCUUAGUUGCCAUCAUUAAGUUGGGCACUCUAAGUUGACUGCCGGUGACAAACCGGAGGAAGGUGGGGAUGACGUCAAAUCAUCAUGCCCCUUAUGAUCUGGGCUACACACGUGCUACAAUGGACAAUACAAAGGGCAGCUAAACCGCGAGGUCAAGCAAAUCCCAUAAAGUUGUUCUCAGUUCGGAUUGUAGUCUGCAACUCGACUACAUGAAGCUGGAAUCGCUAGUAAUCGUAG
rnacentral:rRNA from 1 species